CCUACGGGUGGCAGCAGUGGGGAAUAUUGGACAAUGGGCGAAAGCCUGAUCCAGCCAUGCCGCGUGUGUGAAGAAGGCCUUCGGGUUGUAAAGCACUUUCAGUGGGGAAGAAAGCCUUGGGGCUAAUACCCUCGAGGAAGGACAUCACCCACAGAAGAAGCACCGGCUAACUCCGUGCCAGCAGCCGCGGUAAUACGGAGGGUGCGAGCGUUAAUCGGAAUUACUGGGCGUAAAGCGCGCGUAGGCGGUCUGAUAAGCCGGUUGUGAAAGCCCCGGGCUCAACAUGGGAACGGCAUCCGGAACUGUCAGGCUAGAGUGCAGGAGAGGAAGGUAGAAUUCCCGGUGUAGCGGUGAAAUGCGUAGAGAUCGGGAGGAAUACCAGUGGCGAAGGCGGCCUUCUGGACUGACACUGACGCUGAGGUGCGAAAGCGUGGGUAGCAAACAGGAUUAGAUACCCGUGUAGUC
rnacentral:rRNA from 1 species